ensembl:lncRNA
GACAUUUUUGAAUUACUUCUCCAGGUUGAACAAGAUCCCAGAGGUUCCCAGGAGUGUUCACGUCACGUCUGCUGAGCCAGCGCCACAGCACAAGAUGGCCGCCAGCCCAGCGCCACAGCACAAGAUGGCCGCCAGCCCAGCGCCACAGCACAAGAUGGCCGCCAGCCCAGCACCACAGCACAGGAUGGUUGACUCAACGCCUGAGUCUUCCGUCAAGGAGCCACCGGCUCGCCAUCAUAGAGGGCGGAGGAGGAGGAGACAGGCGUCAGCCGUUCCUCAAAGCCCGGAGGGGGGUCUCGAGCAGGCCGCUGCCGUCCAGGAGGACGUUCCAGAGCGGGCCGCUGCCGUCCAGGAGGACGUUCCCGAGCAGGCCGCUGCCGUCCAGGAGGACGUUCCCGAGCAGGCCGCUGUCGUCCAGGUGGACGUGCCCGAGGUUCCCGAGGCGGUGUCCUUGUCCGAUGCCGUUCCUGAGGCCAUUCCCGAGGCGGUGCCCGAUGCCGAGGUCGUUCCCGAGGCGGUGUCCUUGUCCGAUGCCAUUCCUGAGGCCGUUCCUGAGACCGUUCCCGAGGCGGUGCCCGAUGCCGAGGUCGUUCCCGAGGCGGUGUCCUUGUCCGAUGCCGUUCCCGAGGCCAUUCCCGAGGCGGUGCCCGAUGCCGAGGUCGUUCCCGAGGCGGUGUCCUUGUCCGAUGCCGUUCCUGAGGCCAUUCCCGAGGCGGUGCCCGAUGCUGUUCCGGGAGGCCGAUGCGGGGCCCGAGAUGGUUCCGGAGGCGAUACCCGUGUCCAAGGCCGUUCCCGAGGCGGUGCCCUUGUCUGAGGCCGUUCCCGAUGCCGUUCCCAAGGCCGUGACCGGGCCAUCGCCACAGCCUGCUCCUUACUGGCUCCCCGAUUGGCUGGUUCCGUUCGGGUCACUCAAAUGGCGAAUUCCUCCC